rnacentral:rRNA from 1 species
AUGUUUGCAUGUCAUGUUUUGGGCCAAACAACAUAUGUGAAUGGGCAGAGGCAAGGUUUGAUACUAGAGAAGCCAUUUUGCUUAGGGGAUACCAUAACAAAGGGGAUAGGUUCCUCAUAUUUUUCGGCACAUCAGAAUACCGUGUUGGAUAUCGAGGCUGAGAUCAAGUUGGCUUUUUACUCCAGAAGGCAUUCUUCUGCCUCUGCUUCUGUUACUCAAGAAAUGAAAGAGUUAGGUAGUCGAGGUAUUCUAGUAUUUCCCUGUUACUUUCUCAUGUCUGUAGAUACGAAUACACACAUGAAGUAUUUGAUUUGUGCAAUUUAUUUAUUCAUAGGGCCAAACUCUAUGGUUGGCAAGACACUUAUGUGUUCACAAAGGCCAUGGGCGAGAUGGUCAUCAACUGCAUGCGAGGAGAGAUACCGGUGGUAA